rnacentral:rRNA from 1 species
UACGGAGGGAGCUAGCGUUAUUCGGAAUUACUGGGCGUAAAGCGCACGUAGGCGGCUUUGUAAGUUAGAGGUGAAAGCCUGGAGCUCAACUCCAGAAUCGCCUUUAAGACUGCAUCGCUUGAAUCCAGGAGAGGUGAGUGGAAUUCCGAGUGUAGAGGUGAAAUUCGUAGAUAUUCGGAAGAACACCAGUGGCGAAGGCGGCUCACUGGACUGGUAUUGACGCUGAGGAGCGAAAGCGUGGGGAGCAAACAGG